rnacentral:rRNA from 1 species
CAUGUCUUUUUGAUAAUAAUAUAAAGUUUGACCUGCCCAAUGAAUUAUUUAAUGGCCGCAGUAUUUUGACUGUGCAAAGGUAGCAUAAUAAUUAGUUUUUUGAUUGAAAGCUGGUAUGAAUGGUUGGACGAGAAAAUAACUGUCUUAAUUUAAUUUAAAUAGAAUUUAACUUUUUAGUGAAAAGGCUUAAAUUUAAUUUAAAGACGAGAAGACCCUAUAGAGUUUUAUAUUUUUUUGUUUAAUUAAUUUUUAGAAUAUACUAAUUGUUAAAAAUAAAAUAUUUUGUUGGGGUGACUUAAAGAUUAAAUGAAUUCUUUAUUUAUUAAAACAAUAAUUAUUGAAUUGUUGAUCCAGAUUUUCUGAUUAAAAGAUUAAAUUACCUUAGGGAUAACAGCGUAAUCUUUUUAGAGAGUUCUAAUCGAUAAAAGGGAUUGCGACCUCGAUGUUGGAUUAAAAUUAAUUUCUGGUGCAGAAGCUAGGAAAAUUGAGUCUGUUCGACUUUUAAAAUUUUACAUGAUCUGAGU